GAUGAACGCUGGCGGCGUGCCUAAUACAUGCAAGUCGAGCGAACAGACGAGGAGCUUGCUCCUCUGACGUUAGCGGCGGACGGGUGAGUAACACGUGGAUAACCUACCUAUAAGACUGGGAUAACUUCGGGAAACCGGAGCUAAUACCGGAUAACAUGUUGAACCGCAUGGUUCAACAGUGAAAGACGGUCUUGCUGUCACUUAUAGAUGGAUCCGCGCCGCAUUAGCUAGUUGGUAAGGUAACGGCUUACCAAGGCAACGAUGCGUAGCUGACCUGAGAGGGUGAUCAGCCACACUGGAACUGAGACACGGUCCAGACUCCUACGGGAGGCAGCAGUAGGGAAUCUUCCGCAAUGGGCGAAAGCCUGACGGAGCAACGCCGCGUGGGUGAAGAAGGUCUUCGGAUCGUAAAACUCUGUUAUUAGGGAAGAACAAAUGUGUAAGUAACUAUGCACGUCUUGACGGUACCUAAUCAGAAAGCCACGGCUAACUACGUG
rnacentral:rRNA from 1 species